rnacentral:rRNA from 1 species
GAUGAACGCUGGCGGCGUGCCUAAUACAUGCAAGUCGAGCGAACAGACGAGGAGCUUGCUCCUCUGACGUUAGCGGCGGACGGGUGAGUAACACGUGGAUAACCCACCUAUAAGACUGGGAUAACUUCGGGAAACCGGAGCUAAUACCGGAUAAUAUAUUGAACCGCAUGGUUCAAUAGUGAAAGACGGUUUUGCUGUCACUUAUAGAUGGAUCCGCGCCGCAUUAGCUAGUUGGUAAGGUAACGGCUUACCAAGGCAACGAUGCGUAGCCGACCUGAGAGGGGGAUCGGCCACACUGGAACUGAGACACGGUCCAGGCUCCUACGGGAGGCAGCAGUAGGGAAUCUUCCGCAAUGGGCGAAAGCCUGACGGAACAACGCCGCGUGAGUGAUGGAGGUCUUCGGAUCGUAAAACUCUGUUAUUAGGGAAGAACAAAUGUGUAAGUAACUAUGCACGUCUUGACGGUACCUAAUCAGAAAGCCACGGCUAACUACGUG